rnacentral:pre_miRNA from 1 species
GGGAUCCUAAGCUAACAGCGAGAUGUAGGCUAGGCUCGCACUCUCGCUGGAUUAGCCGCCACCUGUCUC